rnacentral:rRNA from 1 species
GACGAACGCUGGCGGCGUGCUUAACACAUGCAAGUCGAACGGAAAGGCCCUGCUUUUGUGGGGUGCUCGAGUGGCGAACGGGUGAGUAACACGUGAGUAACCUGCCCUUGACUUUGGGAUAACUUCAGGAAACUGGGGCUAAUACCGGAUAGGAGCUCCUGCUGCAUGGUGGGGGUUGGAAAGUUUCGGCGGUUGGGGAUGGACUCGCGGCUUAUCAGCUUGUUGGUGGGGUAGUGGCUUACCAAGGCUUUGACGGGUAGCCGGCCUGAGAGGGUGACCGGCCACAUUGGGACUGAGAUACGGCCCAGACUCCUACGGGAGGCAGCAGUGGGGAAUAUUGUACAAUGGGCGGAAGCCUGAUGCAGCAACGCCGCGUGCGGGAUGACGGCCUUCGGGUUGUAAACCGCUUUCGCCUGUGACGAAGCGUGAGUGACGGUAAUGGGUAAAGAAGCACCGGCUAACUAUGUG